GCUGGUUAGCUCAGUUGUUAGAGCGCUUCAUCUGCAACGGAGAGUCCCGGUUUCGAUACCCGGACCAGGCG
rfam:Ixodes scapularis strain Wikel colony gcontig_1107728734948, whole genome shotgun sequence.